rnacentral:rRNA from 1 species
CGUAGGGUGCGAGCGUUAAUCGGAAUUACUGGGCGUAAAGCGUGCGCAGGCGGUUUUGUAAGACAGGCGUGAAAUCCCCGGGCUCAACCUGGGAACUGCGCUUGUGACUGCAAGGCUAGAGUACGGCAGAGGGGGGUGGAAUUCCACGUGUAGCAGUGAAAUGCGUAGAGAUGUGGAGGAACACCAAUGGCGAAGGCAGCCCCCUGGGUCGAUACUGACGCUCAUGCACGAAAGCGUGGGUAGCAAACAGGACUAGAUACCCUGGUAGUCCACGCCCUAAACGAUGUCAACUAGGUGUUGGGUGGGUAAAACCAUUUAGUACCGGAGCUAACGCGUGAAGUUGACCGCCUGGGGAGUACGGCCGCAAGGUUA